rnacentral:rRNA from 1 species
CCCUUAGAUGUUCUGGGCCGCACGCGCGCUACACUGAUGCAUUCAACGAGUCUAAAACCUGCUCUGAUAGGGGUGGGUAAUCUUUUGAAUGUGCAUCGUGAUUGGGAUAGAUGAUUGCAAUUCUUCAUCUUCAACGAGGAAUGCCUAGUAAACGCAAGUCAUCAGCUUGCAUUGAUUACGUCCCUGCCCUUUGUACACACCGCCCGUCGCUCCUACCGAUUGAAUGUUCCGAUGAAUACCAUGGACUGAGAGUAUGAAUGGGUUCGCCUAUUUCUGCUUCUCGGGAAGUGGAGUAAAUCUUAACAUUUAGAGGAAGGAGAAGUCGUAACA